rnacentral:lncRNA from 1 species
GGCAGGGGUAAUGUGCCUGCCUGGGAUCCUCACUAAGGAGGAGCCUGAGGGACUAAUGGCUGAGGAGCAGUGAAAGACAGGCUCUGCAGUGUUCCUUCCUCAACACCAGAGGAGCUGCGUUUUUUCUUCAGAGAUUUAGCUAGCAUUGGGUCUGGAGCUGGUCAGGUGAGACAGAUGUUUGUAAUGGGAAGUAAGUAGAAAAAAGACGAAGCCAAAAAAAAAAAAAAAAAGAAAAAAAAAGAAAAAAAGAUGAAGCCAAUUCUUAUGUUGGGAAGCACUGUUAGGUUGCUUUUUUUUUUUUUUUAAUUUUCUUGGUGUGUAAUAAACUGUGCUGUAGAUGUGUUUAGACAUCUACAUUUACAUUUACAGUGCAGAGUAAGGGUGAAGAUAAUCUCCUAAUGCUAAGUUUGUCUGAGAUAAUACCAACAUACUUAACCUAUACCCACCCAGCCUUAGCCCUCCCUCCCUAUAAGGAAAGUUUCUCUCUUGGUGAUCAAUCCUGGAUGCCAUUUUUCUCUGAAAAUACUGGAAUUUACCUGCAAACACAGCCAGACUUCCUGAAUGCACCCAGCUCUCCUUGCACUGAAUGUAAUCCCUUUGAACCGUCUCUUAGUUCUGUCAACAGGCCCAGUGCAUACAUGCAUUUUCCUUCAUUGCAACUUUGAAGUGGCAAGCAGAUGUUGUGUUUCAUGGUGAGGAAGUGCCCACAGGUCUUUAUAAGACUUAAUACAAUGCUCUUAAACUAAGGUCCACUGUGAGACCACUAUUGGGCUAAGUAAUAUAUGUGGUGUGUUGUCAUCAGGAUUUGCCUUCUAAAAGAAAGAAACAACAAAGUAUCAAAGAGCACUGCUGUGUCAGGAGUUAACUGUUUAUAAAGCUGCAAUUAUUUGUAUGAAGGUUAAAUGCAUAACAUCCCAGAUUAGUUAGCGUUCACCUCUCGGUGAUUUUUGCCUUCGGUGAAAGGGACCGCUGCUGUGGGUCUUUGAGGGACGUAAGAGUGCUUCAAAAGGGGGUGAGGUUUUUCAGUUAGCUGCCCUUCUCCUAGACUGCUAGCAUAGAAGCAGGGCUUCACUUACAGCCUAGGAAACGAUUUAGCAUCCAGGUUAAUCUAAAUUAUUUAACUGUCUCCCUUUUAGUGAACAUUGUCAAUACCAACAUAUGAUAUCCUAUUGGCUGGUUUCUUGGUAAAUACUGUAUUUUCACAUAACAUCAUCUGGAAACAGUACUUGAAAAUUCAGAGCUCUGUGCUUUUCUGAAGUCUGCAAGGACUACAAACAUUGAUGCUCAUACUUUCAGGUCAGGAAACUGAGCUCAGUGUCUUACCAAAGCUGUGGACUAAUGUGGAGCAGAAUAGCAGUAUGUCACUGCGUGGAAUGGCAGUGGAUCAGCAGCCUUACUUGACACUGUGCUCUGUGCUUCAGCAGUGCCAUCAGCUUUCCUUUUCAAACUUCUUCCCCUGGCAUGAAGCCCUGACAUCUUAGACUACUUCCUUAGUCUGGGUAGGGGUGAAUUUCUUCUUUUAUACAAACCUCUCAGUCCUGCCUAGCUCUGGCACUUCCACAGUCUGCUACUGAGUGCUUAUGGUCCACUUUUGGAGUGUUCUGUCUCCCGUAAACCUGAGGAGACUGGCUUCUCUGGUGAUUGCAGUGGGAAGCAGAGAGAAUUGCAUUGGCUCUUGGGCAGGCUGCGGGCCUCAGAUCUCAGUCCCACUGCUGUUACCCCUGGCUUGUUCCCGCUCCUUCCUGUGCUAGGGUCUCCUGCUUGUGGAUCAGCUAUAUUUGAACUCUGUAGAAAUGUUGUAAGUCUUUAACAGCCUCACUUUAGCCCCUUUUGAGGAGUGUCCUGCUAUGGAACAAGGUACAUUUCUUCAUCCAUGGGUUUCAUUCCUAAGCUUUCAGGACACAGCAGCAGAUGCUUGGGAGAGGCCAGGUUCCAAGGCUCCCCUGGUCUCUUCUUUAUCUCCUGCUUUGCCUUAAUUAAACAUGACUUUGCCAACCCUGCAAGAGAUGUCUGAGUGGCAGCCUUUCUCAGAUUGCUAACCACACAUAGAAAGAGACCCUAGGGAAGGUUUGUUUCCUCUUUCCUUUAACCAGGCUUUCUUGAGGUAAACCUGAUCUUGCUCAUGAAGGAUUUACUAUACAGGAACACUAGGUGACAUAGCCUACAGUUGACUCAUAGCUCUUGGCUUUUAGAGUUUACCUUUAGUGGGCUGCAGCUGGGCACUAGUUGAGGACAGAGACCCCUGUCCUCUGGCCUGUGAGACAGUUCCUAUUGCUGACUUCCAGACUGAGUUCACACCCCACCAUAUUUUGGUGGAUGGAAGUACUAGGGAAUGAUUUUCUAUGUGUCAGAUAAGUAAUUAUCUCUUGUCCAAAGCUAAUUGUGUUGACUUUGUGAAUCUAAAAUUAUAAUAAUUUUGCAAAAAUUAAAAUUUUACAAAACAUAAAAUUGAAAAAAAAACUGUCCAUCAUAACAUUUUCUAAAACCCCCUGAUUAGUUUAUAUGCUAAUUUAAGGAGGGAGAUAAAGAUAACAUACUGACUGCUCUGUUCUGUCUUAAGUACUUAUGGUAUAUCCUAAGCAUUUGUAACAUGGAAGUACAUAGUCUCAGAUUUUAGCAUGAUGAAUUAUAUUAAUAUACUAGUAUAUUAAUAUUUAGCAAUAUUGAGUUAUAAUAGAAGAUACAGAAUGGUAAGUGCCAUUAAGCAAAAUAUGUAAAAUGCUGCUAAGAAUUUCCAGAAGGGCCAGGUGCUGGUGGCGCACACCUUUGAUCCUAGCACUUGGGAGGCAGAGGCAGAGGCAGGUGGAUUUCUGAGUUUGGGAUCAGCCUGGUCUAUAGAGUGAAUUCCAAGACAGCCAGAGCUACACAGAGAAACCCUGUCUCGAAAAAAAAAAGAGGAAAAAUAAAUAAAUAAAAGGAGCAGGGUGGGUGGGGAAGGUUUGCUUAGAAGGCGAGCUGCAGAAAUAGUCAAGGGUGGGGCCUGAGAAGAAAAUAUGUGGCACAGAUAGGAAAAGGUAGAUUGUGAACAGGCAUCAUAGGGCAUGUGUGCAUACACCAGGUGGUGUGGGGGAAGGGACUGAAAGAUCCAAGGAUGGGGAUUUGAGUGUGAACAAGGAGCAAUAAGGACUGAAAGAUGGGCCAGGUCUAGGUUUGACUCCUGGUCAAGGUGAACAGUUAAGAACUCAGGCUUCAGGAUGAGACUACACAGUGUAUAUUCCUUAGGAGUGCUCUAGCCGUGUAGGACAGACAGUGAGCCUAGCAGAGGCCUGCUUGGACAGUUUCCUCUCCUUUUGAGCAAAUGUAAUAAGGGAGGUCUGAGUUAGUCCAGCAGGCUAGUGACCUGCCGUGGCCCAAGACCUUGUUUCUCCCAGUCUUGAUCACUUAGCUUUGGUUCUCCUGCCUAAUGAUUUUAAAUAGAAAAUUGACAACUAGAAGCUAUUGAAUCUUCAUUGUAAUC